UGGUUCAGGAAGAGUCAGUUUGAUUGGGUGAAGGCAGGGGUGAAGGCAGCAUCGGAGGUCAUUUCGGUAAACCCUGUGUUCAUGAAGGCUGGCACGCCGGACCCCUCAGGUUUUGUAAUGAACUUACAACCUUCAGAAGCUGAGGCAGGGUUUGAUGUUCGUCUGCCACCCACAGCAGAUCUCAAUUUAUUAAUAAAAAGAAUUGACGAGGAAUGGGCACCAACUUCAAAAAAUAUGACAUACAAG
rnacentral:misc_RNA from 1 species